rnacentral:rRNA from 1 species
GUAACCGGCCAGGAUAACGAGGGGCGUGCUAACACAUGCAAGUCGAACGAUGAUGCCAGCUUGCUGGUGGAUUAGUGGCGAACGGGUGAGUAACACGUGAGUAACCUGCCCUUAACUCUGGGAUAAGCCUGGGAAACUGGGUCUAAUACCGGAUAUGACUCCUCAUCGCAUGGUGGGGGGUGGAAAGCUUUUUGUGGUUUUGGAUGGACUCGCGGCCUAUCAGCUUGUUGGUGAGGUAAUGGCUCACCAAGGCGACGACGGGUAGCCGGCCUGAGAGGGUGACCGGCCACACUGGGACUGAGACACGGCCCAGACUCCUACGGGAGGCAGCAGUGGGGAAUAUUGCACAAUGGGCGCAAGCCUGAUGCAGCGACGCCGCGUGAGGGAUGACGGCCUUCGGGUUGUAAACCUCCUCG